rnacentral:rRNA from 1 species
UACGAAGGGGGCUAGCGUUGCUCGGAAUUACUGGGCGUAAAGCGCACGUAGGCGGCUUUCUAAGUCGGGGGUGAAAUCCUGGAGCUCAACUCCAGAACUGCCUUCGAUACUGGAGAGCUUGAGUCCGGGAGAGGUGAGUGGAACUGCGAGUGUAGAGGUGAAAUUCGUAGAUAUUCGCAAGAACACCAGUGGCGAAGGCGGCUCACUGGCCCGGUACUGACGCUGAGGUGCGAAAGCGUGGGGGAGCAAACA